UACGUAGGGUGCGAGCGUUUGUCCGGAAUUAUUGGGCGUAAAGGGCUCGUAGGCGGUUUGUCGCGUCGGGAGUGAAAACCCAGGGCUUAACUCUGGGCUUGCUUUCGAUACGGGCAGACUAGAGGUAUGCAGGGGGAGAACGGAAUUCCGUGGUGUAGCGGUGAAAUGCGCAGAUAUCAGGAGGAACACCGGUGGCGAAGGCGGGUCUCUGGGCCGUAACUGACGCUGAGGAGCGAAAGCGUGGGGAGCGAACAGG
rnacentral:rRNA from 1 species